CAUACACUUGGCGUUUUUGGCAUUGGAUAAAUUUGUGACUGAGUUGGGUCGCCUACCAGUUGCUGGUUCUGAGGAGGAUGCUCAGAAGCUGAUCUCUGUUGCCAGUAACAUUAACGAGAGUCUAGGAGAUGGGAGAGUUGAAGAUAUUAAUCCUAAGCUUUUGAGACAGUUUGCAUUUGGUGCCAAGGCAGUACUGAAUCCCAUGGCAGCCAUGUUUGGUGGUAUUGUCGCUCAAGAGGUUCUCAAAGCAUGCUCAGGAAAGUUUCAUCCACUUGUCCAGUUCUUCUAUUUCGACUCAG
rnacentral:misc_RNA from 1 species